GUGUGUGUGUGUGUGUGUUUAUUUAAUAUAUUACAAAUAUGAUAUUCAAUAACCAGCACAAUCAUUCAACUGUUAAAGAUACAUUGAAGAUGUUUACUUGAUCAGCCACAUUAGAAGACAGAGAACUGAACAUCAAAAUCUAACUUGGAGAUAUCUAGGUAAGAAAUUGUCCUAUAUGAUAAUCCAAUCCCAUCCCUCGAAAACCAGAAAAUAAAUAUCAAACUAGUAUCUCAUAUGAUUUUUUGUUUUCAUGGUUUUGUACAACGAAUGCCCAGGAAAAUGAAAAGAGGGGCUGCUAGUUCCCUUCACUUGUGCUUUCACUAAUUUGCCUUCACCACAUUUAAGUAAGCAGUGCCUUUUAACAUUGAAACUGGCUAUCAGUUACUUUUCUUUCCAUGGAAAAUUUCCUUUUUUUUUUUUAUUCUGGCUUUGUCUGUCCUCUCUCCAUCAAUGGCUGCACUUUCUGUUUGAUUCUGUAUUUUGGAAAUUGCUUAUACUAGGUCUAACGGACCAGACCAAUGACAUUGCAGUUUUUUAUAUUUGAUUUAAAAACUUGCAUUAGAGUAAAACAGAAGUUUGAGAAUAGAAUUCAAAAGAUGUCAUUGGUUUAGUCCAUUUGUGGAACAUAAACCUAGGCUAGGCAAGAAAAAUCCUAUUUUUCUUGUUUCUAAUCCUAGCCUUUUUCUACUACCAACUCUGAAAAUUCUCUCCAUUGCAUUUCUCUAAUUUUUCCGCUUUCCCUCUUCUCAUUUGCUACUCUCCAGG
rnacentral:misc_RNA from 1 species